rnacentral:rRNA from 1 species
AGAGAUAACUUCGGAAACCGGAGCUAAUACCGGAUAAUCCUUUCCCACGCMUGUGGAAGCUGAGACGUUCGGCUGUUACUUACGGAUGGGCCCCCAUUAGCUAGUGGGGAGGAACGGCUCACCAGAACAUGCCAACCACCUGGGAGGGUGAUCGGCCCCUGUGACUGAACCGACACACUCCUACGGAGGAGAAGGAAUCUUCCGAUGAACGAAAGUCUGACGACACCCGCGUGAGCAAUGAAGCCUUCGGUCGUAAAGCUCUGUUGUUAAGAAAGAACAGUAUCACUGACUGCCGGUACCUUGACGGUACCUAAACAGAAAGCCCGCUAACUACCUGCCACCCCGGUAAUACGUAGGUGGCAAGCGUUGUCCGGAAUUAUUGGCGUAAAGCGCGCGCAGGCUUCCUUUAAGUCUGAUGUGAAAGCCCUCGCUCACCGUGGAGGGUCAUUGUAAACUGGACUUGAGUGCAAAAAGGAAACGGAAUUCCCGUGUAGGUGAAAUGCGAGAGAUGUGAAGGAACCGGGGCGAAGGUUCUUUUCUGGGAUACCCUGGUAGUCCACGCCGUAAACGAUGAUGCUAGUGUUAGGGUUCCUUGUGCGAGUAACCAUUAAGCAUCCGCCUGGGGAGUACGGCGCAAGCUGAAACUCAAAGGAAUUGACGGGGCCCGCACAAGCGUGGAGAUGUGGUUUAAUUCGAAGCAACGCGAAGAACCUUACCAGGUCUUGACAUCCUACACUUAGAAAUAGCUCCUUCUUUGGGACAUUGGAGACAGGUGGGGCACGGUGGUUUCACCUCUGUCGUGAGAUGUUGGGUUAAGUCCCCCACCGAGCGCCCCCCUGAUUUAGUGUCCACCCUUUGGGUGGGCCCUUUAGGAUGCCCGGGACCAACCGGAGGAAGGGGGGGAGCGUCCAAUCCUCCUGCCCCUAUGCCUGGGUCCCCCGUUCCAUGGCCGAUCAACGGGAAGGAAACCGAGGGGACCCAUCCCAUCAAAUCUCUCAGUUCGGAUUGCAGGCUGCAACUCGCCUGCAUGAAGCGGAAUGCUAGUAAUCGCGGAUCAGCAUGCCGCGGUGAAUACGUUCCCGGGCUUGUACACACCGCCCGUCACACCACGAG